rnacentral:misc_RNA from 1 species
GAUGAAGAACGUAGUAAAAUGCGAUAAGUAAUGUGAAUUGCAGAAUUCAGUGAAUCAUCGAAUCUUUGAACGCACAUUGCGCCCGCCAGUAUUCUGGCGAGCAUGCCUGUUCGAGCGUCAUUUCAACCAUCAAGCCCCAGGCUUGUGUUGGAGCCCUGCGGCUGCCGCAGCCUCCCAAAACCAGUGGCGGGCUCGCUAUCACACCGAGUGCAGUAGUUUACUCUUCGCUCAGGGCGUGUGGCGGGUGCUAGCCGUGAAACCCCCAACUUCUCAAGGUUGACCUCGGAUCAGGUAGGAAUACCCGCUGAACUUAAGCAUAUCAAUAAGCGGAGGA